AUUGAACGCUGGCGGCAGGCCUAACACAUGCAAGUCGAACGAGUGGCGGACGGGUGAGUAAUGUCUGGGAAACUGCCUGAUGGCUGGGGAUAACUACUGGAAACGGUCGCUAAUACCGCAUACCAUCGGAUGUGCCCCGAUGGGUUUAGCCAGUAGGUGGGGUAAAGGCUCCCCGAGGCGACGAUCCCUAGCUGGUCUGAGAGGAUGACCAGCCACACGGGAACUGAGACACGGUCCAGACUCCUACGGGAGGCAGCAGUAGGGAAUAUUGCACAGUGGGCGCAAGCCUGAUGCAGCCAUGCCGCGUGUAUGAAGAAGGCCUUCGGGUUGUAAAGUACUUUCAGCGGGGAGGCGUUACCCGCAGAAGAAGCACCGGCUAACACCGUGCCAGCAGCCGCGGUAAUUC
rnacentral:rRNA from 1 species